CUCUGGUGGAGGCUCGCAGCGAUUCUGACGUGCAAAUCGAUCGUCAAAUUUGGGUAUAGGGGCGAAAGACUAAUCGAACCAUCUAGUAGCUGGUUCCCUCCGAAGUUUCCCUCAGGAUAGCUGGAGCCCGGUGCAGUUUUAUCAGGGAAAGCGAAUGGUUAAAGGUCUUGGGGCUGAAACAGCCUCAACCUAUUCUCAAACUUUUAAUGGGUAAAAAGCCUGGCUUGCUUGGUUGAAGUCCGGCGUACAAUGGCGGGGCUCCCAGUGGGCCAUUUUUGGUAAGCAAAACUGGCGAUGUGGGAUGAACCAAAUGCCGGGUUAAGGUGCCUGAAUCGACGCUCAUCAGAUCCCAUGAAAGGUGUUGGUUGAUACUGACAGCAGGACGGUGGCCAUGGAAGUCGGAAUCCGCUAAGGAGUGUGUAACAACUCACCUGCCGAAUCAACUAGCCCUGAAAAUGGAUGGCGCUCAAGUGUCGUACCCAUACCCGGCCGUCGGGUCCAGCGGCUUGACUCAACGUGUAGGAGGGCGCGGAGGUGGCUGUGCACCCUCUGGCGCGAGCCUGGCUGAAGCCGCCACUCGUGCAGAUCUUGCUGGUAGUAGCAAAUAUUCGAACGAGAACUUUGAACACUGAAGUGGAGAAGGGAUCCAUGUGAACAGCAGUUGGACAUGGGUUAGUCGAUCCUAAGAGAAGGGAGAGGUCCCUCUGGAAGGCGCAAUCGCUCAGGCGACCGCGCCGUUCCUCGAAAGGGAAUCGGGUUAACAUUCCCGAACCGGGAUGCGG
rnacentral:rRNA from 1 species